rnacentral:rRNA from 1 species
UAGGGAAUCUUCCACAAUGGGCGAAGCCUGAUGGAGCAACGCCGCGUGUGUGAUGAAGGCUUUCGGGUCGUAAAGCACUGUUGUAUGGGAAGAACAGCUAGAAUAGGAAAUGAUUUUGGUUUGACGGUACCAUACCAGAAAGGGACGGCUAAAUACGUGCCAG